rnacentral:rRNA from 1 species
AGUGAACGCUGGCGGUAGGCCUAACACGUGCAAGUCGAACGGCAGCACAGUAAGAGCUUGCUCUUACGGGUGGCGAGUGGCGGACGGGUGAGGAAUACAUCGGAAUCUACUUUUUCGUGGGGGAUAACGUAGGGAAACUUACGCUGAUACCGCAUACGACCUACGGGUGAAAGCAGGGGAUCUUCGGACCUUGCGCGAUUGAAUGAGCCGAUGUCGGAUUAGCUAGUUGGCGGGGUAAAGGCCCACCAAGGCGACGAUCCGUAGCUGGUCUGAGAGGAUGAUCAGCCACACUGGAACUGAGACACGGUCCAGACUCCUACGGGAGGCAGCAGUGGGGAAUAUUGGACAAUGGGCGCAAGCCUGAUCCAGCCAUACCGCGUGGGUGAAGAAGGCCUUCGGGUUGUAAAGCCCUUUUGUUGGGAAAGAAAAGCAGCAGGUUAAUACCCCGCUGUUCUGACGGUACCCAAAGAAUAAGCACCGGCUAACUUCGUG